rnacentral:rRNA from 1 species
UACGUAGGGGGGCAAGCGUUGUCCGGAAUCACUGGGCGUAAAGGGCGCGUAGGUGGUGGCUUAAGCGUGCGGUGAAAGCUCGGGGCUCAACUCCGAGUCGGCCGUGCGAACUGGGCUCACUGGAGCAUAGUAGAGGCAGGUGGAAUUCCGGGUGUAGCGGUGGAAUGCGUAGAGAUCCGGAAGAACACCGGUGGCGAAGGCGGCCUGCUGGGCUAUGGCUGACACUGAGGCGCGACAGCGUGGGGAGCAAACAGGG